GACGAACCGUGCGAACGUUAUUCGGAAUCACUGGGCUUAAAGCGCGUGUAGGCGGGUGGGAACGUCGGCCGCUGAAAUCCCCCGGCUCCAACCGGGGAAGGGGCGCCGAAACGGCCCGCCUGGAGGGACGUAGGGGGAGCUGGAACUCCGGUGGAGCGGUGAAAUGCGUUGAGAUCGGAAGGAACGCCCGUGGCGAAAGCGAGCUCCUGGACGUUUUCUGACGCUGAGACGCGAAAGCCAGGGGAGCCGAACGGG
rnacentral:rRNA from 1 species